GAUUAAGUUAUUAAGGGCGCACGGUGGAUGCCUUGGCACUAGAAGCCGAUGAAGGACGUUACUAACGACGAUAUGCUUUGGGGAGCUGUAAGUAAGCUUUGAUCCAGAGAUUUCCGAAUGGGGAAACCCAGCAUGAGUUAUGUCAUGUUAUCGAUAUGUGAAUACAUAGCAUAUCAGAAGGCACACCCGGAGAACUGAAACAUCUUAGUACCCGGAGGAAGAGAAAGAAAAUUCGAUUCCCUUAGUAGCGGCGAGCGAAACGGGAAGAGCCCAAACCAACAAGCUUGCUUGUUGGGGUUGUAGGACACUCUAUACGGAGUUACAAAGGACGACAUUAGACGAAUCAUCUGGAAAGAUGAAUCAAAGAAGGUAAUAAUCCUGUAGUCGAAAAUGUUGUCUCUCUUGAGUGGAUCCUGAGUACGACGGAGCACGUGAAAUUCCGUCGGAAUCUGGGAGGACCAUCUCCUAAGGCUAAAUACUCUCUAGUGACCGAUAGUGAACCAGUACCGUGAGGGAAAGGUGAAAAGCACCCCGGAAGGGGAGUGAAAUAGAACCUGAAACCGUGUGCUUACAAGUAGUCAGAGCCCGUUAAUGGGUGAUGGCGUGCCUUUUGUAGAAUGAACCGGCGAGUUACGAUUUGAUGCAAGGUUAAGCAGUAAAUGUGGAGCCGUAGCGAAAGCGAGUCUGAAUAGGGCGUUUAGUAUUUGGUCGUAGACCCGAAACCAGGUGAUCUACCCUUGGUCAGGUUGAAGUUCAGGUAACACUGAAUGGAGGACCGAACCGACUUACGUUGAAAAGUGAGCGGAUGAACUGAGGGUAGCGGAGAAAUUCCAAUCGAACCUGGAGAUAGCUGGUUCUCUCCGAAAUAGCUUUAGGGCUAGCCUCAAGUGAUGAUUAUUGGAGGUAGAGCACUGUUUGGACGAGGGGCCCCUCUCGGGUUACCGAAUUCAGACAAACUCCGAAUGCCAAUUAAUUUAACUUGGGAGUCAGAACAUGGGUGAUAAGGUCCGUGUUCGAAAGGGAAACAGCCCAGACCACCAGCUAAGGUCCCAAAAUAUAUGUUAAGUGGAAAAGGAUGUGGCGUUGCCCAGACAACUAGGAUGUUGGCUUAGAAGCAGCCAUCAUUUAAAGAGUGCGUAAUAGCUCACUAGUCGAGUGACACUGCGCCGAAAAUGUACCGGGGCUAAACAUAUUACCGAAGCUGUGGAUUGUCCUUUGGACAAUGGUAGGAGAGCGUUCUAAGGGCGUUGAAGCAUGAUCGUAAGGACAUGUGGAGCGCUUAGAAGUGAGAAUGCCGGUGUGAGUAGCGAAAGACGGGUGAGAAUCCCGUCCACCGAUUGACUAAGGUUUCCAGAGGAAGGCUCGUCCGCUCUGGGUUAGUCGGGUCCUAAGCUGAGGCCGACAGGCGUAGGCGAUGGAUAACAGGUUGAUAUUCCUGUACCACCUAUAAUCGUUUUAAUCGAUGGGGGGACGCAGUAGGAUAGGCGAAGCGUGCGAUUGGAUUGCACGUCUAAGCAGUAAGGCUGAGUAUUAGGCAAAUCCGGUACUCAUUAAGGCUGAGCUGUGAUGGGGAGAAGACAUUGUGUCUUCGAGUCGUUGAUUUCACACUGCCGAGAAAAGCCUCUAGAUAGAAAAUAGGUGCCCGUACCGCAAACCGACACAGGUAGUCAAGAUGAGAAUUCUAAGGUGAGCGAGCGAACUCUCGUUAAGGAACUCGGCAAAAUGACCCCGUAACUUCGGGAGAAGGGGUGCUCUUUAGGGUUAACGCCCAGAAGAGCCGCAGUGAAUAGGCCCAAGCGACUGUUUAUCAAAAACACAGGUCUCUGCUAAACCGUAAGGUGAUGUAUAGGGGCUGACGCCUGCCCGGUGCUGGAAGGUUAAGA
rnacentral:rRNA from 1 species